rnacentral:SRP_RNA from 1 species
UGGCAAGCUAGGUCGGGAGGGUAGCCGUCUCCUGCACUCUAAACCGGCUUAGAGAGGACUGAAGGCCUGGAGCGGUGGGACUCAUGCGGGCCGCGCCGCUUAGGAACGACGACCUUCUGUCCUUGAGGGCUUUGCGAGCGGGAAUCAUGUCAGGUCCGGAAGGAAGCAGCAUUAACCGUCCGCGUAAGUGUCUUGAGGGUUGCGGAAGCGAGAACUUGGGCGGAAAUACACGGUUUGCGUGAGUUUCAUCCAUUCGGGCCGUGCUUGCCA